rnacentral:rRNA from 1 species
UGAGCAAUCUGCCCUUCUCAUCGGAAUAAGCGUUGGAAACGACGUCUAAUGCCGAAUACGACCUCCUUUCGCAUGAUCGGAGGUGGAAAGCUCCGGCGGAGAAGGAUGAGCUCGCGGCCUAUCAGCUAGUUGGUGUGGGUAAUGGCCCACCAAGGCGACGACGGGUAGCCGGUCUGAGAGGGUGACCGGCCACAUUGGGACUGAGACACGGCCCAGACUCCUACGGGAGCAG